UAAGGAAUAUUGGUCAAUGGACGCAAGUCUGAACCAGCCAUGCCGCGUGAAGGAUGAAGGUCCUCUGGAUUGUAAACUUCUUUUAUCUGGGACGAAAACGGGAUUUUUAUCUCAAUUGACGGUACCAGAGGAAUAAGCACCGGCUAACUCCGUGCCAGCAGCCGCGGUAAUACGGCGGGUGCGAGCGUUAUCCGGAUUUACUGGGUUUAAAGGGUGCGUAGGUGGGCUUAUAAGUCAGUGGUGAAAUCUCCGAGCUUAACUUGGAAACUGCCGUUGAUACUAUAGGUCUUGAAUUAUCUGGAGGUAAGCGGAAUAUGUCAUGUAGCGGUGAAAUGUUUAGAUAUGACAUAGAACACCAAUUGCGAAGGCAGCUUACUACAUAUAAAUUGACGCUGAGGCACGAAAGCGUG
rnacentral:rRNA from 1 species